AGGGUUGUAGCUCAGUGGCAGAACAUCUGCUUUGAAUGCAGACGGUCCCAGGUUCAAAUCUUGGUGUCUCCA